UAAAAGAUUUUUAUUUUAUUUUAUUUUAUUUAUCUGAGACAGAAGGAGCAUGAGCAGGUGGAGAGGCAGGAGAGGGAGAAGCAGGCUCUCCGCUGAGCAGGGAGACGGAUGCAGGGCCCAAUCCCAGGACCCUGAGAAGAUGACCUGAGCCAAAGGCCAACACUUAGCUGACUGAGCCCCCCCAGGCACCCUCAAAUAUAUAUAUAUUUUUUACAUCUACAGCAAAUACUAGAACUGUUCAUAUUUUAGAAACAAAACGCCUCCAUGGCUUCCCCAGUGUGCUCAGAACAUACUAAUCGGAACUCAGAGGCCUUGUGGUCUGAAGUACCAAACUCUCAGGGGCGCCUGGGUGGCUCAGUGGGUUAAGUGUCUGCCUUCGGCUCAGGUCAUGAUCUCGGUCCUGGGAUGGAGACCCACAUCCCGUUCUCUGCUCAGUGGGGAACCUGCACCCCCCACCCCUCUGCCUACUUGUGAUCUCUCACUCUGUCAAAUAAAUAAAUGAAUUCUUAAAAAACAAAUAUUGAAGUACCAAGCUCUCUCUUUAAUUUAAUUAUUUGACAGGGAGAGAGAUCACAAGUAGGCAGAGAGACAAGGAGAGAGGGGGAAGCAGGCUCUCUGCGGGGCUCAAUCCCGGGACCCGGAGACCAUGACAUGAGCUGAAGGCAGAGCCUUAACCCACUGAGCCACCCAGGCGCCCCGAUGUCUUAUUAUUUUUUUUAAAGAUUUAUUUAUUUGAGAGAGAGCAAAGGGGAGAGGGAGAACCAGGCUCCCUGCUUGAAUAAAGGUCCACACAUCACAAUGUUCUGGCUGAGCAGAAAGCCAGUUGCAGGGCUCAAUCCCAGGAUCCUGGGGUCAUGACCUGAGUCAAAGGCAGACACUUAACUAAUUGGGCCACCCAGGUACCCCUCAUCAAUGUCUUUUUUUUUUUUUUUUUUAAAGACUUUAUUUACAUAUUUGACAGACAGAGAUCAUAAGCAGGCAGAGAGGUGGAAGCAGGCUCCCUGCUGAGCAGAGAGCCCGAUGCGGGGCUCGAUCCCAGGACCCUGGGAUCAUGACCUGAGCUGAAGGCAGAGGCUUUAACCCACUGAGCCAUCCAGGCGCCUCCAUCAAUGUCUUUUGAAGGACAAAAGUUCUUAAGCUUGAUAAACUACAUUAAUUUGUUCUUUUAUAAUUUGUGCCAAACUAGCUGAAUGAAGAGUCCGCCGGGUGGAAAUGGCAGUAGGUGAGUCGUUACGGAAGAGGACGUUAGCGAGACUGAAGGUGCACGAAGACAAACUGCAAAUGGAACAGAGGGGAUGAGAACAGGCGGCAUCCGUGAGCCGUGCAGCAGUGCCAGGCAGCUGGUGCGUGUGCUGUGCGGCCCAAGGAGCAGCAUUUUGCCUUGUGAACUCGACACCUUGGCUUCCUGGCUUCCCAGAUCCAUCCGCUCAACGCAUGGAGACCACGGGGCUCUGCUUGAGUUCUCCCUCCUUGCUGCACAUCCUGAAAACCAGAUGGAGAGCUGGAGGAGUCCUAGAAUUCAACGCUGUUGUUCCUUUCAGGGUCUCAGGACUUCAGUGUUCAGAACUGUUUUACGUAUUUUGUGUUUUUAGUUUUCAGGUGGAAAAUAAUUCUGGUUCCUGCUACUUCAUCUUCACUGGAACCAGAAGUCUCAUUAAGUUCCCCCCCCUUCUUAAAAUUUUAUUUGAGCCAGAGAGAGAGAAGGGGCAGAGGCAGAGUGAGAAUCCCAAGCCAACCCUACGCUGAGUGCAGAACCCACCAUAGGGCUCAACCACAUGACCCCAAGUUCAUCACCUGAGCUGAAACCAAGUCAGCCACUGAACUGACUGAGCCACCUAGACGCCCGUCUUUAAAUCCAUUUUUAAAAGCAUAAAAUGUGGGGGUGCCUGGGUGGCUUAUUUGUUGGGCGUCUGCCUUAGGCUCAGGUUAUGCAUGAUCUCAGGGUCCUGGGAUUGAGUCCCACAUCAGUUCCCUGCUCCACGGGAAGCCUACUUCUCCCUCUGCCUGCUCCCCUGCUUAUAUUCCCUUUCUCACUGACUCUGUGUCAAAAAAAAAAAAAAAAAAAAGUGUAAAAUGUGGAAACUCCCCUACAGAUACUGAGAUAUUAAAGUUCUAAUAAUAGGGGCGCCUGGGUUGAGCAGCUGCCUUCGGCUCAGGCCAUGAUCCCAGUGCCCUGGGAUCGAGUCCCACAUCGGUCUCCUUGCUCAGCGGGGAGCCUGCUUCUCCCUCUGCCUCUGCCUGCCUCUCUGUCUGCCUGUGCUCGCUCGCUCUCUCUCCCUCUAUCUCUGACAAAUAAAUAAAUCUUUUAAAAAAAAGUUACAAUAAUAAAGAUAAUAUAGUGCAACUGUAGGAAAAAAGCAGACCUACAGAAUGCACGGGCCCAUAAACAGACCCCUGUAAAUGUGGGAACGCAGUAAAUACAGGGGCGCCGCGUACUGGAAAGAAUGGAUUGUUCCACACACUGGAUUGGGAAAAUGGGCUCAGCGUAUGAAUACAAAAAGCUGUAUCUCGACUUCACACCAUAUACAACGUGAGCUCUAGAUAGAUUCAGCACAAUAUCAAAGGUAAAAUCAUAGAUCUAAUUAAAAAUAGGAAAAUACAUUUUUAUAAUUCGCUAAAUAAUUUAUUAAAAGUAAGCUCUGUACCCAACACAGGGCUUGAACUUGUUACCCUGAGGUCAAGGGUUGCACACUCUACCAACUGAGCCAGCCAGGCGCCCCAGGAAAAUACCUUUCUAUUAGUGUGUGCAGGGAUUGCUUAAGACCAAAAAGACGCCUACAACGUGGGAGAAAACGACAAGUCUUACGUCACCAAAAUUUAAGGAUUUCUUUUCAACAGAAGCUGGAGAGCAGCAUGAAACAGAUUUUCCCUCAGAGCCCUCAGAAGGAGCCGACCCUGCUGACUUCCGGAUUUCAGACUUCUGGGUGUCCAGCAGACUGUGCCAACGUCCUGCUGUUUUGGGUCUCCUGGUCUAUGGUGACUUGUAGCCUGUAGUCAGCACAGAUAAGAGUUCAUAGUCUCAGAAAGUCCUAUCAGAUAGGGUUGAUUUAGAAUAUUUGUGGAGCUCUUGAAAAUCCAAAGGAAAAAUUCAGAGAUAGAAAAAUGUACCAAGAAUAGGAAUAAGCUGUUCAUUCAGGGGAAAUCCUCCGUGAUGGAGAGAAGGGAUGAAAUGUUAGUGCAUUCUGCAGCAUGGGUUAAUCUCAGAUGUGAUGUUGAGUAAAAAUAAAAAUCUGCAGCCUAA